rnacentral:tmRNA from 1 species
GGGGCUGACUGGCUUUGACAGCGUGUAGAGGUGGUAAGCAAGCAUGCAGAGCGAUAAUGGCAAGGCUCUUAAAUCUCAGUCAUUGACACAAUUAAAUGGCGAAAACAACUACGCUCUCGCUGCCUAACCGAAGCACAGUAAGUUCGGCUUUAUCACUGCCCAAGGGGCUGUGACGAGACAUCACCCAACUGCCCUCGCGCCGAGGCGGGUUGAUCAGGUGGUGCAGGAAUAUCGGCGAUAGGACAAGGUAAGCCUCGGGCCGCGUCCGAAAUUUAGAGGAUAAGCCACCGGUUGGUCGUCUUGGGCCUGCCAGCGGUCGAAAACCAAGCCAAGACUAAGCAUGUAGAAACCUUAUUAGUUCCACGUUUGGACGAGGGUUCAAACCCCUCCAGCUCCACC